rnacentral:sRNA from 1 species
GCACGCGAAGUAUUGCAUCCACGGCCGA